rnacentral:rRNA from 1 species
GACGAACGCUGGCGGCGUGCUUAACACAUGCAAGUCGAACGGUGAAGCUCCAGCUUGCUGGAGUGGAUCAGUGGCGAACGGGUGAGUAACACGUGAGCAACCUGCCCCUUACUCUGGAAUAAGCGCUGGAAACGGCGUCUAAUACUGGAUACGAGAAGGGCCCGCAUUGGCACUUUCUGUAAAUUUUUUCGGUUGGGGAUGGGCUCGCGGCCUAUCAGCUUGUUGGUGAGGUAAUGGCUCACCAAGGCGACGACGGGUAGCCGGCCUGAGAGGGCGACCGGCCACACUGGGACUGAGACACGGCCCAGAAUCCUACGGGAGGCAGCAGUGGGGAAUAUUGCACAAUGGGAGAAAGCCUGAUGAAGAGACGCAGCGUGAGGGAUGACGGCCUUCGGGUUGUAAACCUAUUUCAGAAGGGAAGAAGAGAAAGUGACGGUACCUGCAGAAGAAGCACCGGCUAACUACGUG